rnacentral:rRNA from 1 species
UACGGGGGGGGGCAAGCGUUGUUCGGAAUUACUGGGCGUAAAGGGCUCGUAGGCGGCCAACUAAGUCGGAUGUGAAAUCCCCAGGCUCAACUUGGGAACUGCAUCCGAUACUGGAUGGCUUGAAUUCGGGAGAGGGAUGCAGAAUUCCAGGUGUAGCGGUGAAAUGCGUAGAUAUCUGGAGGAAUACCGGUGGCGAAGGCGGCAUCCUGGACCGACAUUGACGCUGAGGCACGAAAGCGUGGGGAGCAAACAGG